rnacentral:lncRNA from 1 species
CAGAAGAGCCUGGCAGCCUGUGCUCCAUGGGGUCACAAAGAGUCAGACACUAUUGAAGCGACUCAGCUCAAGCACAGCACUCAGGGGAAACCAGUGCUGCCGUGUUUCUGUUCACGUUGCUUCAUAACGUUACAUUCUUUUCUCAGCGUUUAUACCAUUUGAAAUUUAGCUCAAGCGCUUUUAUAUUUAAUUAUAAAUUCAAUGUGUUUCUUAUGUAUAUUGAACUUCUUUCUCAAAUUUACCUUCUUUAUUUCUGUAAUUCUCAAGUAUAUCAAUAUUGAUAUUAAUGGCAAAGAUCUCGGAGACAUUAACAUUGCUACCUCUAAUUAUUUCCUGUAUUGUAUUUUCUUGCUCUGUUGUGGACUGCCUCUGUGUUGUCCUUGUUUUGUAUUAAGUAUUUAGUAUUAUUUGAUUUUAGGUUUUUUUCCUCUUGCAAGUUACAGUGGAGUUUGUGUUUUAAAUAAAUCAACAGUUUCUUUUAAGUUUAAGCAGAUUCUAUUAAUAUUUAUUAUUUCAACCUUCAUCAAUUCGGGUCUCAAACGUAUUGGAUUGAUGCGUUACUUUUAACGUGACAUUUACAUGUUUCGUGACCCUUGCCAUAUUCCCUUCAGUUCUCCAACAGUCAUUUAUUUAGAGCAAAUAUAAAAUGUUAAAGCAAUUUAGAGUUUCUCUGAAUACUUGAGUGAAAAACUGAAAAUCUAAAACUGCAAAGUUUGAUUUGAGACUUCCUUGGCCAUUCUGUGGUUAGGAUUCAGUACCUUCACUGCCAUGGGUCCAGGUUCAAUCCCCAGUCAGGGAACAAAGGUCUCAAAAGCCACGUGGCUGUCACAGCCAAAAAUAAUAAUACACUUUACAAAGUAACUUCCACUGAUGUGACUAUUCACUUCUAGUUCUUACCAGGACUGUUGCUUUUAGUCAACAUAGUAAAGGUUCACAAGACACAUGAUACCGAUAGAGAUGCUUGUGAAGUUCUGUUCAAGCAUAAACAGAGGGGAAUGUCCAAAAGUUAAAUGAAAAUAAACUGACUCCUUACUCAAGAAAAUAAAAAUAUGUUAUUUUUGAAUGCACUGAGAAUGAGGGCAAGUUGGAUGCAGUUUGCAAAAUGAGUGCCAUGUAUUCCAAAUGUGAUGACUGGAAAAUUUUUGGAGUCCUGUGGUCAAUAAGGCCCUAAUCAACUUGAAUUAAAUAAUUCUCAUUUUAAGGUGAAGCAUAUGAGGAUAUUGCAAUGAGUCCGGUAUUCUUAUCUAGCUUGUCAACUUGCUCUGAAGACAGUUCUCGUCCUGGGAGUGAAAAUCUUUUUGAAUGAUGAUGAUGCUGUUGCCAUCAUUAGACAUCAUGUUUCCUGGCCUAUUUUUCAAGACAUGUUGAAACUACAUCUAGGUACAUGUACAACUAAGGCAACAAUGGGAAAAUCUGUGUUGAGUGUCACAUAGAUUCUUCCACUUUGUUGGCUACCCCAGGAGCUUUAACCAAGAAAGCAGCUGACCCAGGUGAGGUCUGAGAGGAGAGUUUAAGUGGCAGGGGUUACUUCAUCACACCAGGCUCUCCAUGUGUUCCUAGAAGUCCCUCAUGAUCUUUCUUCAGGGAUCCGUUAUCCAGCAUUGGACUGGAGUAAGGAGCAAGGUAAAGUACUGAGAGAAUGAAGAUCUGAUGCAGCCUUCCUUCUCUGUCUUCCUCGUCCUCAGCUUCGGAGUCUUUCUUGAAUAGUGAGUGAUG